GGCAGGCUGCUGUGUGCGACCACAUAUGGAAGCAUGCCCGAACCGAUAGACUAUAAAUGGGGGCGGCCCCUUUGAGUUGAUGUCAUGCCUUUUCAGGAAGACAGAUACAUGAAGGAUGUCCCCAACCUGUUGAGCAACGGGAACGUGGCUCUAGCUCCAUGGACGGCACAGCGGCUUAACU
rnacentral:other from 2 species